rnacentral:lncRNA from 1 species
UCCAAUUUAUCAAAUAUUUCAUUACUAAACAACUUGCACAACUUAAAACUUACAACUCCUCUGUAUUUCUAAACCAUUAUAUCCCAAGGGAAAAAUAAAAUAACGUUCCAGAAACCAAUUAAACUUCCAAAAACAAACUAAAAUUUCUGGUUCAACCCUUGUGGCUUCCAAGAUUUUCCAGCAACCAAGUACUUUUUAGAUCAAAUUUUCCCUUGGUUUAAACAUGGUGUUAGGUAGGCAUGGCCACGGUUCCAGAACCGCCGGUUCUGGUUCUUCAAAGAGGUAGAACCAGAACCGCACCAUAUAAGAUGGUUCUGGUUCUGGUUCCAGAACCGGCGGUUCUGGUUCUUCAAAGAGGUAGAACCAGAACCGCAUAGUUCUGAUUUCGAUUCCUUAUGGUUCCGGUUCCGGUUCCGGUUCCGUAUGGUUGUUUCUUUCUUCCGUUGAGAGCCCCCGAGAGCAAAAAUUGAAGAAACUCCCUUUUUUUCUUCGAAUACAAGCUUUUUCUUUGGAGCCCUUCUUUGCAAUGUUUUCCUCUUGGAUCCGUUGAGAGCUUGGUCAAAAGGUUGUGGUGGAUCAUGAUGAUCAUCAUGAUGUCUCUACUUUUAUUAUUUUUUAUAUUAAUUAUUUUUAAUUUUUUUAACGGUUCUGGAACCGGCGGUUCUGGUUCUGGUUCUAUUUUUUAGAGAACCAGAACCGGAACCUUUAUCCAAGGUUCUACUACGGUUCUGGUUCCACGGUUCUGGUUCCGGUUCUGGUCCGGUUCCAAAAGGUUCCGGUUCCGGUCCGGUUCCCGGUUCCAAAUGGAACCAUGGCCAUGCCUAGUGUUAGGUACUCAAAUUCAGCAUGUAAACACUUAGCUAGCUAUUAAAAAUUUUCACUUCAAAACCAGAUUCAUUCAGCAACUAAAAUCAUCCAGAAAAAUCCAGAAAUCUGUCCAACUAGCCACGGUUGAACAUGCAUGAAGAAACUUUCUGUUUUCAUUUUAUUUUCUUGGUUAAAACAUGCUUUUAAACUCUCAACUUCCUCAUGCAAUUACUUAGCUAGAAAAUAAAC